rnacentral:rRNA from 1 species
UGGCUCAGGAUGAACGCUGGCGGCGUGCCUAAUACAUGCAAGUCGAACGAAGCACUUUCAGCAGAUCCCCUCGGGGUGAAGCCGGUUGUGACUUAGUGGCGGACGGGUGAGUAACGCGUGGGUAACCUGCCUUAUACAGGGGGAUAACAGUUAGAAAUGACUGCUAAUACCCCAUAAGCGCACGGCACCGCAUGAUGCAGUGUGAAAAGAUUUAUCGGUAUAAGAUGGACCCGCGUCUGAUUAGUUAGUUGGCGAGGUAACGGCCCACCAAGACGACGAUCAGUAGCCGACUUGAGAGAGUGAUCGGCCACAUUGGGACUGAGACACGGCCCAGACUCCUACGGGAGGCAGCAGUAGGGAAUAUUGCACAAUGGGGGAAACCCUGAUGCAGCGACGCCCGCGUGAGUGAAGAAGUAUUUCGGUAUGUAAAGCUCUAUCAGCAGGGAAGAAAGGCCCGAAAGGGAGAUGACGGUACCUGACUAAGAAGCCCCGGCUAACUACGUGCCAGCCGCUGC